rnacentral:rRNA from 1 species
UUCUGCCACCGAAUACAUUAGCAUCGGGAUAAUGGAAUAGGACCCUGUCCUCCUAUUUUCAGUUGGUUUUGGCAGCGCGAGGACUAGGGUAAUGAUUAAUAGGGAUAGUUGGGGGCAUUAAUAUUUAAUUGUCAGAGGUGAAAUUCUUGGAUUUAUGAAAGAUUAACUUCUGCGAAAGCAUCUGCCAAGGAUGUUUUCAUUAAUCAAGAACGAAAGUUAGGGGAUCGAAGACGAUCAGAUACCGUCGUAGUCUUAACCAUAAACGAUGCCGACCAGCGAUUAGGAGACGUUGAAUACAAAACACCACCAUCGGCG